GGGGGACUAGCUCAGUUGCUAGAGCUCAUGCCUUGCAUGCACAAGGCCCUGGGUUCAAUACCCAGCACCACCA
rnacentral:tRNA from 1 species